CUGCCUGCUGUAGGGAGGGGGAAAUGAGGCGGUGUCGAUGGGGGUGGGGAGCCUCAGGGAGUGUCUUUUUUUUUUUCCAGAACUUUCCUCAUCUUUUUUCCAGCCCUGUAUUCUUUCUGACCCACGGACCGGCGUCCAGUUUAGCUUACUCAUUUAAGGACCUGAGGAAGAUGCUGCUCAAAAGGAGUAAAAAAAAAUUCGGCUUAAUUACGGGAAGGCUUUGGAGCUACGAUUUCUGAUUGUUCUGUUUCCGAAGAGGCUCGUGAUGUAAUCAUUUUGAAGUCUUUGAAAAGCAUUAUAAUAAAGCCUUAUCAUCGCU